UAUGUAAUAUUAUAAAAAAAAAUCACUAACCCGAAAUUAUAUUAAAAUAAAAUUCAAAUUCAAAUUCAAAUUCGUCCAAUCAAAUCCAAUCAAACUUAACCUAACCUUAGAGCUAAAUACAUUAGGUGUUGUACAUAUUAUGUUUAGUGAUAGGUAUGUAUCAAUCAUCGGUUCAAGACUGGCAUCUUUGCUAGGUUACCGAGAAGAAACGAAAAUGGCCAAGAACAAGACGACGACAUAAUCUUCGAAGACUUCGCGCGCCUCAGGCUGAAGGGCGCGGACGCUGAUGCUUGAACAUUAUGCUAACAGCGCUCUCUUACUGAACUACAUUCUAUAUUUUGUUAUACCAAACGCACAAUUGUAUCGUACUUUUUGAAUUUUCAUAAACAACAUUGUUCGUUUUGAAAUCCAUCGAAUGACCAUAGACACAAGAAAUAAGUGUUACCAUCCUUAGCGAAAAGUGUUAUAAUCUGUAUUAAAAUAAAAAUGAUGUAUAAAAUCA